GACGAAGGGGGCUAGCGUUGUUCGGAAUUACUGGGCGUAAAGAGUGUGUAGGCGGUGCUCUAAGUUCGGUGUGAAAUCUCUCGGCUUAACUGGGAGGGUGCGCCGAAAACUGGAGUGCUCGAACGUGGGAGAGGAAAGCGGAAUUCCUGGUGUAGCGGUGAAAUGCGUAGAUAUCAGGAGGAACACCUGCGGUGUAGACGGCUUUCUGGACCAUUGUUGACGCUGAGACACGAAAGCGUGGGUAGCAAACAGG
rnacentral:rRNA from 1 species